GAAUAUGAAGCGAUAAAUUGCAAUUAGUUUCGACCUAAUCUUAGGUACUUUUACCCUUAUUCUUUAAUUGA
rnacentral:tRNA from 1 species